AGCGAACGCUGGCGGCAGGCCUAACACAUGCAAGUCGAACGAACUCUUCGGAGUUAGUGGCGGACGGGUGAGUAACACGUGGGAACGUGCCUUUUGAUUCGGAAUAACUCAGGGAAACUUGUGCUAAUACCGAAUGUGCCCUUCGGGGGAAAGAUUUAUCGCCAUUAGAGCGGCCCGCGUCUGAUUAGCUAGUUGGUGAGGUAACGGCUCACCAAGGCGACGAUCAGUAGCUGGUCUGAGAGGAUGACCAGCCACACUGGGACUGAGACACGGCCCAGACUCCUACGGGAGGCAGCAGUGGGGAAUCUUGCGCAAUGGGCGAAAGCCUGACGCAGCCAUGCCGCGUGAAUGAUGAAGGUCUUAGGAUUGUAAAAUUCUUUCACCGGGGACGAUAAUGACGGUACCCGGAGAAGAAGCCCCGGCUAACUUCGUG
rnacentral:rRNA from 1 species